UCCAAAAUACGGAGUCGAAUAGCUGAGGAGUGGAAUCCUUAGUCAAUCAAAGAUGAAAAUUCAGGUGGAGUUUAUGUUUUGAAUUGGUUUUUGUGUAAAUUUCUUUCUUGUUGAUGAUUUCAGAUCAGUAGAUCUUAAUCUAUCUCUAAUGGGUCAGUUAAGGUUUCAAAGAACACUCGGAGAUAGCCUCUCUCUCACUCUCUCUCUCUCUCUCUCUCAUCUUUACCCAAGCUUCAAUUGGGGAAAAAAUCAAAAACCCUAACUUUCAAUUAGGAUAAUAUCUACCAGGCUUGAUUCGCUUUACCGAUCUCAUCUUUACCCAAGCUUCAAUUGGGGAAAAAAAUCAAAAACCCUAACUUUCAAUUAGGAUAAUAUCUACCAGGCUUGAUUCGCUUUACCGAUCUCAUCUUUACCCAAGCUUCAAUUGGGGAAAAAAAUCAAAAACCCUAACUUUCAAUUAGGAUGAUAUCUACCAGGCUUGAUUCGCUUCUAGGUUUUUAUUUAUUGUAAAUACUCUAGGUUUUUAUUUAUUGACUUAUUUCUUUAGUACUCAAUUUGAUUGGCUUGAUUUUUUUUCAUGGACUUUUCAUGAGCAAUGGCUCGUUUCUGAAGUGGUUCUGAGUUUAGAGAUCAAUUACAGAGGUUGAUUUUCCAGAGGCUGGCUUUAACUCAAACGGGUAAGUAUUUAAUUCAAAUUUAGAUUCAAGACAGGCUUGCAUCUGUGUUAUUUGGAAUUGCUGUUGAAAUUAAAACUCUGAUUAGUAUCUUUAGAGAGAAAGACUUGGAAGAUUCUCCUUUUUCAGUUUUGGCUUCAAACUUAAACGAAGAAGUUUCAGAGUUCAUAAGAAGGUCCAGGAGCUAUGGAAGAGUGGAGGGCUGCAGAGAGGAUCAAGAAGAGUAGUACAUGGUGGAGAGAUGGGUUCGGCCUUGGCAACAGAGGGAUCAAGUGUAUAUGAUUGAAGGGUGCACAAGGUGCUGUUACUGCUAUGAUGUACUUUACAUUGUUACAACCCUGCUCGCGCAUCCCAGCUAUCCUCUACUAUAAGAAAAUGUUACUGCCUCUGAUCGCUCUAUUUUUAACUUCUGUAUUCAGUCUGUUUCUCCAAUUCCAGUAUAAGUAAGAAACUUCAAAUUUGUUUUCAACUUGACACUACUACAGAAAGGUUUGGCAUUCUCAAAUGCUUGCCAUAAAAUUUACAUGAAGCAAAAUCUAUUCGGAUUGAAAAGUUCAAGACAAACUCAUGGAUGCUCUUAAUGAAUGUGAUGUGGCAAUGCUUGUAAAGUUGUAGUUAGAUUAGAUUGUAACUUAUAGUUUAGUGCACUUGGGAAAAUAAAUCUGUGCUCAUUUGAUAUUGUAUAUUGGAUGUUUAUAUAUAAGUUUGGUUAGUAAUGGUGUAAGUAAAUUUGCAUAUUUUAAUUUUUUUUUUGUUUCAUGAAAAAGAUACAAGGACGUUUUUUUAGUGUCCUUAUAGAUAUUUGAUAACGCUUUUUUAAGUUAUAAAGACGCUUUUCUAGUGUCCUUAUAAACAUUAGACGACGUUUAUUUAUAGAAACAAGGACACUUUUCCAGUGUCCUUGUAGAUAUUUAAGGACGUUUUUUCAACGUCCUAAUAGAUGACUUACUAUGACUCCUUGAUAGAUGACGUUUUUUUUGCGUGUCAUCUAAAGUUUUUUAUGACGUUUUUCAAACGUCCUUAAACCUAUUUUCUGUAGUAGUGAAUGGAAAUCGAAGAAUUGAGAUUUGGAUCGGUGUCGAAGAUCGGGGGGUGAAAUGAGGAGAGAUUGAGGUAUGAGGGAAUUAACAAUGGCGGAGAGAGAGAGAGAGAGAGAGAGAGAGAGAGAGAGAGAGAGAGAGAGAGAGAGAGAGAGAGAGAGAGAGAGAGAGAGAGAGAGAGAGAGAGAGAGAGAGAGAGAGAGAGAAUGCAGAUCGGGGGAGGAUGAGAGAGAGAGGAUAGAGAGAUCGAUGGCAUGGAUGUAAUUCAUUAAUUAGGUCGAGGGCAAAGUUGUCAUUUUAUUUUAAAUUGGGUAAGUGGGAAUAAAAAUCUGUUGGUGGGGUAAGUGAGAUAAUUUUGGCUCAUUUUGGUGCUUUGGGUCAAGGACCCUUAUAAAUAAGUGUAUCAUUUUGUU